UGGAGGGAAUGGCGCGUGCGGGCGUGUCUCCCCGGAGUCUAGAGCGUCGGAUCCCGGGGCAGGUCCGGUAGGUUUGGCGUGCGCGGGUUUCUGCAGAUCUGAGAGCCCAAGUGUCUUGCAUACCACGAAAAGGCAGCUCAAUGGCCUGGGAAGAAACUCACACUUCGCUCUGAGGGUUCCCGCCCAGCUCAAGGCUCACACACGUCACGGUGCACUCAGCAGAGGCGCUGACAGAGCCAGAGGACCAGGAUCAGUUACACAGGGAGAGGAGUCACUCACGCUUGGAAUCUGGCCACAUGCUGUAAGGAAGCCUAGGCCACAUGGAGAUGCCACAUACAGAUGUUCCCGCUGAUAAUCCCAGCAAAGAUUCCAGGCAACAGCCAACAUCAAUUGCUAAUCAUAUGCAUGAAUGAGCACUCAGAUGAUUCCAGCUCUUAGUCUUCAAGUUGCCCAGAGGAGCAGAGAUGAGCUGUCUCCACUAAACCCUACCCAAACUGGAGAUUCGAGAGCAAAAUAAAUCGUUUAAGCCACAGCAAUGGUUGGUUAUGCAACCAUAGGUAACU